GUAUCAAAUUGCAGCUCAUCCAACAACAACAACAACAACAACACAACAACAACAACGACGCGACGAGUCUCAGUUGUUUAGCUCCAUUCAGGCCCUUCUUUUCCAGCUACGUGCCUCAAUACCGCUGUGCUAUUGAAUAAUAGAAAGAGGGAUUGCUAUAUGGUGCUGGAAUAGCUGAUUAACCGAUAAAAAUUGCGACGUCAGGGAUGUACGCCAGCCAAAUGCUCGGAUGGCAAUCGCCCAUGGACUGCACGCCGUAACUCCACUAUUUCCGGCGGAAAUCGUUUGACAAAAUUUUAAAGUGUACUUGAAAACAUAAAUAAAAUAUCCUCCAAGUUUAAA